rnacentral:rRNA from 1 species
AUACGUAGGGUGCGAGCGUUGUCCGGAAUUACUGGGCGUAAAGAGCUCGUAGGUGGUUUGUCGCGUCGUCUGUGAAAUUCCGGGGCUUAACUCCGGGCGUGCAGGCGAUACGGGCAUAACUUGAGUACUGUAGGGGAGACUGGAAUUCCUGGUGUAGCGGUGAAAUGCGCAGAUAUCAGGAGGAACACCGGUGGCGAAGGGGGGUCUCUGGGCAUUAACUGACGCUGAGGAGCGAAAGCAUGGGUAGCGAACAGGAUUAGAUACCCUGGUAGUCCAGGCCGUAAACGGUGGGCGCUAGGUGUAGGGGUCUUCCACGACUUCUGUGCCGUAGCUAACGCAUUAAGCGCCCCGCCUGGGGAGUACGGCCGCAAGGCUAAAACUCAAAUGAAUUGACGGGG